GGUUAAGCGACUAAGCGUACACGGUGGAUGCCCUGGCAGUCAGAGGCGAUGAAGGACGUGCUAAUCUGCGAAAAGCGUCGGUAAGGUGAUAUGAACCGUUACAGCCGGCGAUGUCCGAAUGGGGAAACCCAGUGCAAUUCGUUGCACUAUCGUUUGAUGAAUACAUAGUCAAACGAGGCGAACCGGGGGAACUGAAACAUCUAAGUACCCCGAGGAAAAGAAAUCAACCGAGAUUCCCCCAGUAGCGGCGAGCGAACGGGGAGCAGCCCGGAGUCUGAAUCAGCUUGUGUGUUAGUGGAAGCGUCUGGAAAGUCGCAGGGUACAGGGUGAUACUCCCGUACACUAAAACACACAGGUUGUGAACUCGAAGAGUAGGGCGGGACACGUGGUAUCCUGUCUGAAUAUGGGGGGACCAUCCUCCAAGGCUAAAUACUCCUGACUGACCGAUAGUGAACCAGUACCGUGAGGGAAAGGCGAAAAGAACCCCGGCGAGGGGAGUGAAAAAGAACCUGAAACCGUGUACGUACAAGCAGUAGGAGCCCACUUGUUGGGUGACUGCGUACCUUUUGUAUAAUGGGUCAGCGACUUAUAUUCUGUAGCAAGGUUAACCGUAUAGGGGAGCCGCAGGGAAACCGAGUCUUAACUGGGCGUUAAGUUGCAGGGUAUAGACCCGAAACCCGGUGAUCUAGCCAUGGGCAGGUUGAAGGUUGGGUAACACUAACUGGAGGACCGAACCGACUAAUGUUGAAAAAUUAGCGGAUGACUUGUGGCUGGGGGUGAAAGGCCAAUCAAACCGGGAGAUAGCUGGUUCUCCCCGAAAGCUAUUUAGGUAGCGCCUCGUGAAUUCAUCUUCGGGGGUAGAGCACUGUUUCGGCUAGGGGGUCAUCCCGACUUACCAACCCGAUGCAAACUACGAAUACCGAAGAAUGUUAUCACGGGAGACACACGGCGGGUGCUAACGUCCGUCGUGAAGAGGGAAACAACCCAGACCGCCAGCUAAGGUCCCAAAGUCAUGGUUAAGUGGGAAACGAUGUGGGAAGGCCCAGACAGCCAGGAUGUUGGCUUAGAAGCAGCCAUCAUUUAAAGAAAGCGUAAUAGCUCACUGGUCGAGUCGGCCUGCGCGGAAGAUGUAACGGGGCUAAACCAUGCACCGAAGCUGCGGCAGCGAC
rnacentral:rRNA from 1 species